GUGCGCGUGCGUGUGUCCGUUUUCCUCUCUCUCUGCUUUCAACAGCCAGCCCAACCAAACCCCCCCAGCAGGACUUCGCACGCCAUUGGCUGGAUUCUUCUCGAGAGGCGUUGAUUGGAAAUCAGACAACUCAAAGAUCGUGGAGGCCAGACUACCUGGAGAAAACCCACGCAAGCAUGGGGAGAACAUGGAAACUCCACACAGGAAGGCCAGAGCCCAGAUUCAAACCCAGAAGCUCAGAAAUGGUCGCGGGCGUGCUGGAGCCUAUCCCAGUUAUCAUCGGGUAGGAGGCGGGGUACACCCUGAACUGUUUGCCAGCCAAUCGCAGUGAGCUCUAUAUCUGCUGAAUCAGGUGGGUCCCCCAUGGCUCCAAUGCGAUGACGGCAACUCACCGGCGACGUCGGUGGCCACCAGGAUGGGCAGAUUCUUCUUCUUGAAAUCACUAAUGACCUUGUUCCUCUCGCUCUGAUCCAUGUCGCCGUGAAGCAGGCCCA